UACGUAGGGGGCUAGCGUUGUCCGGAAUCAUUGGGCGUAAAGCGCGUGUAGGCGGUUCGGUAAGUCCGCUGUGAAAGUCGGGGGGCUCAACCCUCGAAUGCCGGUGGAUACUGUCGGACUAGAGUACGGAAGAGGCGAGUGGAAUUCCUGGUGUAGCGGUGAAAUGCGCAGAUAUCAGGAGGAACACCAAUGGCGAAGGCAGCACUCUGGGGCGUGACUGACGCUGAGACGCGAAAGCGUGGGGGAGCAAACAGG
rnacentral:rRNA from 1 species